rnacentral:rRNA from 1 species
GACGAACGCUGGCGGCGUGCCUAACACAUGCAAGUCGAACGAGGUCCAGGGGAGCUUGCUCCCUGACGACCUAGUGGCGAACGGGUGAGUAACACGUGAGAAACCUGCCUCGGAGUGGGGAAUAACUCGGGGAAACUCGAGCUAAUACCGCAUACCUUCACAUGAUCGCAUGGUCGAGUGAAGAAAGAAUUUCGCUCUGAGAGGGUCUCGCGGCCUAUCAGCUUGUUGGUGGGGUAACGGCCUACCAAGGCAACGACGGGUAGCUGGUUUGAGAGAACGAUCAGCCACACUGGGACUGAGACACGGCCCAGACACCUACGGGUGGCUG